UUCACUUUUAAGCAGUGGAAAUGGGAGGAUCAGCAAAGGACUUAAACAUCUGGAUAAGUCUUUAUUUUUCUUCUCAGCGUGUCAAUUUAUCCACAACGGCUUCUAAUGAUCAGAAGCAUACAACAGAGAGCAGAGGGGAAGGGGUAGGAGGUGGUUGAGAGCGAGGACAGGAAAAGGAAGUAUUUUCUUCUCAUCGCCCACUGUGCCUGAGCCAUCCUUGAGCAAGCGCAAGUUCUCCUAGCUUAUCCAAACUAUUCUCAGGUCACGGGGAGCCUGUGCCUAUCUCAGGCAUCAUCGGGUAUCAAGGCAGGAUACACCCUGGAUGGAGUGCCAACCCAUCGCAGGGCACACACACACUCAUUCACUCACGCAAUCACACAAUCACACACUACGGACAAUUUUCCAGAGAUGCCAAUCAACCUACCAUGCAUGUCUUUGGACCGGGGGAGGAAACCGGAGUACCCGGAGGAAACCCCCGAGGCACGGGGAGAACAUGCAAACUCCACACACACAAGGCGGAGGCGGGAAUCGAACCCCCAACUGUGGAGGUGUGAGGCGAACUAAGCCACCGUGCCCCCCUGAAUGAAAAUGUAAUCGGUUUUAUUUGUAUUGUACUUUUUAACAAUGGAUGUAGUUACAAAGCAGCUUUACAAAGAAAAACUCUUC